rnacentral:rRNA from 1 species
GAUGAACGCUGGCGGCGUGCCUAAUACAUGCAAGUCGAACGCUUCACUUCGGUGAAGAGUGGCGAACGGGUGAGUAAUACAUAAGUAACCUGGCAUCUACAGGGGGAUAACUGAUGGAAACGUCAGCUAAGACCGCAUAGGUGUAGAGAUCGCAUGAACUCUAUAUGAAAAGUGCUACGGGACUGGUAGAUGAUGGACUUAUGGCGCAUUAGCUGGUUGGUAGGGUAGCGGCCUACCAAGGCGACGAUGCGUAGCCGACCUGAGAGGGUGACCGGCCACACUGGGACUGAGACACGGCCCAGACCCCUACGGGAGGCAGCAGUAGGGAAUUUUCGGCAAUGGGGGAAACCCUGACCGAGCAACGCCGCGUGAAGGAAGAAGUAAUUCGUUAUGUAAACUUCUGUCAUAGAGGAAGAACGGUGGAUAUAGGGAAUGAUAUCCAAGUGACGGUACUCUAUAAGAAAGCCACGGCUAACUACGUGCCAGCCGCCGCAGUAA